rfam:Monodelphis domestica chromosome 2, whole genome shotgun sequence.
CUUCACUGAUGAGAUCCUGUUUGUGCCGUCGUGUCUGGGCCACUGAAGCCUUGUGAUGGAGUUGAGGAUCUGAGGAG